CUGCAGUCCCGGUGUCUGGGCACCUGUGCCCGGGACAAAAAAAAGGACAAUAAACUGAAUAACCAAGAGGCCGUCAGUGUGAACUGUUAGAGAGCAGAACAUGUCUGAAGUAUCUUGCUUAGUCCUGGAUUUGGAAUAAAUGCCAGCAUUCAAUCAAGACAUGAAAUUUACUUUCCGAGUCAGAGACCUGUGAAAUUUGAAUCAAAUUCUUCAAAAGUGUCAUUCUGGGUAAAUAUUCAUGAAACAUACCUGAAGAAACUAUCGUCACUCCUUCAGGAGUUUCAUCAGCAAGAGAAGGUGUUUCACUGCAGAAGUUUUCUUGUGAACAGAAGCUAUAUGAGAUGACCCUGGAAAGUGACCCACGGAAUGAUGGUAUGGAUACAUCAGAAUUCUGCAAUGCCAAGGGGACUUGCUUUAAUACUGCACUGGGUGUUCAGGGCUGAUAUUUGCACAAAAAGGCUUUUGAGUACCAGGGGACACAGACUUUGAAUAUCUGUCUCAGCUCCUUUCUGCAAAGGCUUUGGAAGGGGCAGCAGGGCUGAGGCCAGGCUGAGAACAGAGAUCCACACCCCCACAGACUGCUUAUUCCAGGCUGGAGUGGGACAGCAGGAAGGUCAUGUAGAAACCACUUGUUCAUAACAGGCUGAAACAGGAUUCAAACUCAUGGGAGUGCUCCUGCCCAUGAAUCCCACAUGAGUGAAGAAGAGUGUUUUUGGGGCAUGUCUGCCCACUGCCCAGCAUUCAAGAAUGAUGCAUUUCAGUCACAGUCAGCCUAAACUGGAUCUGAGCUCGGGACCUGCAGGAGUUAGUGGUUUCCUUGAUUGCGUAGGCUCAGCUGGAGGAAGGAGCUCUGGCUGAACCACAGGUGUGUGAAGUGAUGUCUGCUCUUACACUUGGGUAAUAAAUCUAUUAUUUUACUGCUAUACUGCUCCACAGAGAAUUCUGGUUUUGGUCCAGCAUGCUUUGGGAUCUGCUCAGCCUCAUUUCUCUUUGCUCUGCACUGAUGCCGCCAGCAGAAGUGUAAAUUGCGACGAUGCUUCUGUGAUGCAAAGGCCCAGCUCUCUGCCAGCUACUAAUCAUAUCCCCACCACAGCUGAGCAUCGCUGACAGCCAUUUCCAAAGGAGUCCAGAUGAAUGUUUCAUGUUUUAAUUCCAGCUAGCUUAGAUCUGCUGCAUAGCUCUGUGUUUACAACAAUCUGGGCAGGAUUGUCUUGGAACCACUUAAUUUCAUCACACACUUUAUGAUCGCGUUGCAAUUAUCCAUAGUCAAACCAAUGAUCCUGAUUACAGAGCAUGACCAGGAAUAAUUGUGUUUCAUGGCAUUGUUCCCACUUGUUUAAAAACUUUCUUUAAAAUAUGCUUGAAAUGUAAAUGUAUUAAACAGAUACUCUAAAUGGUUAAUUCUUUUUCAGUGAUGAGUAAGAGAUUUAUUACUUGUGGUUUUUUCAGAUUGAAAAAUACUCUUGACAAGUUCUGCUCUUUCACUAGACAGUUUUAAUUAUGUGUCAUGCCUGUUUGUUAUUUGACAGUCUGCUCAUGUUUGGACUCUGAACACGCAGGGGAAAAUUCAUGGUUCCUUGUUUAUUGAGCAAUCCUUUUAGACUUUGCACAGUCUUUUCAAAAAUUCUUCUAAUUUAUAAUAUGAUUACA